rnacentral:rRNA from 1 species
UGGCGAACGGGUGAGUAACACGUGGGUAAUCUGCCCUGCACUCUGGGAUAAGCCUGGGAAACUGGGUCUAAUACUGGAUAUGACCUUUCUCCUUAUGGGGUUUGGUGGAAAGUUUUUCGGUGUAGGAUUAGCCCGCGGCCUAUCAGCUUGUUGGUGGGGUGAUGGCCUACCAAGGCGACGACGGGUAGCCGGCCUGAGAGGGUGAUCGGCCACAUUGGGACUGAGAUACGGCCCAG